GUGCUCACUUAGCAGCACAUAUACGAAAACUAGAAUGAUACAGAGAAGAUUAGCAUGACCACAGUGCAGGCAUGACACACAAAUUCAAAAGCAUUUCAAAUUUUCA
rnacentral:snRNA from 1 species